rnacentral:rRNA from 1 species
AGAGUUUGAUCCUGGCUCAGGAUGAACGCUAGCGGCAGGCCUAACACAUGCAAGUCGAGGGGUAACAGGAGAGAGCUUGCUCUUUUGCUGACGACCGGCGCACGGGUGCGUAACGSGUAUACAAUCUACCUUAUACAGGAGGAUAGCCUUUAGAAAUGAAGAUUAAUACUCCAUAGUCUAUUAAUAUAGCAUUAUAUAAAUAGUAAAGCUUCGGCGGUAUAAGAUGAGUAUGCGUCCUAUUAGUUAGUUGGUAAGGUAACGGCUUACCAGGACAACGAUAGGUAGGGGCCCUGAGAGGGGGAUCCCCCACACUGGUACUGAGACACGGGACCAGACUCCUACGGGAGGCAGCAGUGAGGAAUAUUGGACAAUGGGCGAGAGCCUGAUCCAGCCAUGCCGCGUGCAGGAAGACUGCCCUAUGGGUUGUAAACUGCUUUUAUAUAGGAAGAAACCAUCUCUCGUGAGAGAUAUUGACGGUACUAUAAGAAUAAGGACCGGCUAACUCCGUGCCAGCAGCCGCGGUAAUACGGAGGGUCCGAGCGUUAUCCGGAAUCAUUGGGUUUAAAGGGUCCGUAGGCGGGAAUCUAAGUCAGUGGUGAAAUCUUGCAGCUCAACUGUAAAAUUGCCAUUGAUACUGGAUUUCUUGAAUUAGUGUGAAGUGAUUAGAAUGUGUAGUGUAGCGGUGAAAUGCAUAGAUAUUACACAGAAUACCAAUUGCGAAGGCGGAUCACUAACACUAUAUUGACGCUGAGGGACGAAAGCGUGGGGAGCGAACAGGAUUAGAUACCCUGGUAGUCCACGCCGUAAACGAUGGAUACUAGCUGUUGGAGAGCAAUCUUCAGUGGCUAAGCGAAAGUGAUAAGUAUCCCACCUGGGGAGUACGUUCGCAAGAAUGAAACUCAAAUGAAUUGACGG